rnacentral:rRNA from 1 species
GACGAACGCUGGCGGCGUGCUUAACACAUGCAAGUCGAACGGAAGGGCCCUGCUUUCGUGGGGUGCUCGAGUGGCGAACGGGUGAGUAACACGUGAGUAACCUGGCCUUGACUGUGGGAUAACUUCAGGAAACUGGUGCUAAUACCGGAUAGGAGCUCCUGCUGCAUGGUGGGGGUUGGACAGUUUAGGCGGAUGGGGAUGGACUCGCGGCUUAUCAGCUUGUUGGUGGGGUAGUGGCUUACCAAGGCUUUGACGGGUAGCCGGCCUGGGAGGGUGACCGGCCACAUUGGGACUGAGAUACGGCCCAGACUCCUACGGGAGGCAGCAGUGGGGAAUAUUGCACAAUGGGCGGAAGCCUGAUGCAGCAACGCCGCGUGCGGGAUGACGGCCUUCGGGUUGUAAACCGCUUUCGCCUGUGACGAAGCGUGAGUGACGGUAAUGGGUAAAGAAGCACCGGCUAACUACGUG